CAGAUUGAACGCUGGCGGCAGGCCUAACACAUGCAAGUCGAACGGUAGCACAGAGGAGCUUGCUCCUUGGGUGACGAGUGGCGGACGGGUGAGUAAUGUCUGGGAAACUGCCCGAUGGAGGGGGAUAACUACUGGAAACGGUAGCUAAUACCGCAUAACGUCGCAAGACCAAAGAGGGGGACCUUCGGGCCUCUUGCCAUCGGAUGUGCCCAGAUGGGAUUAGCUAGUAGGUGGGGUAACGGCUCACCUAGGCGACGAUCCCUAGCUGGUCUGAGAGGAUGACCAGCCACACUGGAACUGAGACACGGUCCAGACUCCUACGGGAGGCAGCAGUGGGGAAUAUUGCACAAUGGGCGCAAGCCUGAUGCAGCCAUGCCGCGUGUAUGAAGAAGGCCUUCGGGUUGUAAAGUACUUUCAGCGAGGAGGAAGGCGUUGUGGUUAAUAACCGCAGCGAUUGACGUUACUCGCAGAAGAAGCACCGGCUAACUCCGUGCCAGCAGCCGCGGUAAUACGGAGGGUGCAAGCGUUAAUCGGAAUUACUGGGCGUAAAGCGCACGCAGGCGGUCUGUCAAGUCGGAUGUGAAAUCCCCGGGCUCAACCUGGGAACUGCAUCCGAAACUGGCAGGCUAGAGUCUUGUAGAGGGGGGUAGAAUUCCAGGUGUAGCGGUGAAAUGCGUAGAGAUCUGGAGGAAUACCGGUGGCGAAGGCGGCCCCCUGGACAAAGACUGACGCUCAGGUGCGAAAGCGUGGGGAGCAAACAGGAGGUAGAUACCCUGGUAGUCCACGCCGUAAACGAUGUCGACGGGGAGGUUGUGCCCUUGAGGCGUGGCUUCCGGAGCUUACGCGUUAAGUCGACCGCCUGGUGAG
rnacentral:rRNA from 1 species